rnacentral:rRNA from 1 species
UUUGACCUCGGAUCAGGUAGGAAUACCCGCUGAACUUAAGCAUAUCAUAGNCNNGGAGGA